ACUGAAGCAAACUUUGUAAUUUCCUGAUAUAUCUUAAUGAUUGUUGAAGCCAAACUCGCAUCUCAUCUGCUUUUUAAUAGUUUUGCAUAAUUUACUUUCUUGAACUGAUGGUCUGAACUCUGAAGUGGUGUCUUAUACAUGGUUAGAUAAUGUAGUGGGGAAUUUUUCUGAUGUACAACCUAUAUAUCAGAAAUGGUUGAGCUUGGAAUGAUCUGUCCCGGUUAUUAGUGUUUGUGUUCCUGUAGAUCAAAUAUCUAUUUGUAAUUUUGGAUUAGUAUAUUUGCUUUGAAAGUCAGAAUUGCAUUUACUGUUUUCUUUUUGGCGCAAAAAGAAGUAGUUAGUGUUAAACAUAUGUUAGACAGAGCUACUUACCAAUGGCAAUUUGUCUGGAGAUCUGAUGUUUUUUGUACAUUGUUGUGGCUGAAAACCUGAAACGAUUUGUGUAACUGAUAGUCUGUUGCUUUACUUCUACACUGCUUAAUUAACCUGCGAUUAAUUUUGAUAUUUGAUUUUUGGCAAGAAUCAUCGGACUAUAGAUUAUUGAUCAUGCAUGAAACGUUUUAAAGGAAGCGAAUCUACAUUUGCAUGCUCGGUUUGAAGACUUGCCAGCUGGGUGAAGAAGCUUUCUGACAAACAUCCAAAUCACUCUAAUAGGCCCAAGUUGAGCAUAUGUUAGAUGGUCUGGAUGACAUGGAUGGUGCCGAGGAUGUCCCUUUUGAUGAGCUCAUAGGCAUGCAAGGCUUAGUAUUUCACUUGGUUGAGAAUGCAAUUACAAUAUGUAUUACAUACAAGUCUGAUGGAUUCAAGAGAAUGAAGAGUAAAUAAUACUAUACUAUAAAUACGUCAACUACAGAUAACCCUCCCAACUACAAUGUUGCACCUGACAACCUCCUACUCAACGAGGCCAAGCUAUCUGCAGGGGACCAUGCCCCUGGACGUUCCUAAGAGGUGUGCUGCUAGAUGACCUUCUUGCUGCUGAAACAACAAAUGCUUGUAACUGCAGCUCCUGCUAACAUGCAAGCUGGAUGAGCACCGGGCAUAUUUGCUACGAUGAUGAACAAACAUGCAAAUGACUGCAGAAACAACAGCUGAUGGAGCUGUGGUUCUUGGAAACCCAGUUGCUCCUCCUGUUAAUGGGGAUGUGUAUGCGGAUAUCAGCCCUGAGAAUGUUGUGGUCCAGUGACACCGAGAAGAUAGUGCAAAUGUGCUAAUUAUUUGGUUGAAGCAUCUGCUGCAGAGGUUGAGGUAAUUAGUGCUACUUUAGCUGCUAUAAAGGCCAGACAAGUUGGAGAUGAGAUGAGCAUUUUAUCAUAUUGCUUUGCCUGUAAUAACCAAAAUUGAUUGAUUUAGUUUCACACAACAUAGAUAAUUAUAUCGUCAGGUUCAAUUUUACUUAUGAAAGUUGAACAUUUCUUAUCUUGUUAGAUUUCCUCUUUGUAAGUUCUAGGACUUUAGUUAAUUGAAUAUCUUAAGGCAUGCAUGCCAGAACUUUCCAGAUGGUAACACUUGAUGCAAUUCUGUUCCUACUAUUCUUACCUGAUACUACCUGGACGACCUUCAAGCAUCAAUAACUUAAUCCUUUUAGGUUUUCUACUUCUUUCUCCAGUACAGACAUAAUAUUGUUUGGUGCUUCCCAAUAUUUGGACGUGAAAGUAGAGAAGCUUUACAUUUCAAGAAAUAUUAGAUUAUCAAUAAGAAAAUAUGGUCCAAGCCGGACUACUACUUCUAAAUGUUUUGUUUUUCACCAAAGGGGAUAUUUUACUUCUCCUAAUCAUGGUCGCCGUGUAACCCGAUGAUAGUAGGAUGGUAAAUAACUACAUCCUUUUUCGGCAUGGCAAAAAAAAAUACAUCCUACCCAUUUGAUGAUUUGCAACUGCAGCUGAACAAUAAU